GGUCCAAAUGAGCAAGGAAGUGACAAUGAAGCAAGUGACAGUGAUGAGAAUGAGGACUCAAGCUGCUCGAAGCAAAGCCGACAUGCACACGAAGCGGCCAAUGGUGAAAGAACGGGUCCUGAAGACCACAAUGAGUGUGAAGACACUGAAGAUGGUACUGGCUCUGGCACACACUCGAGGCGUAAAAGACAAGGUCCACUGAUUAAAGAUGUAGUGACUGAUCCAGGAGUUCAGUUCGUCUGUGGUUUGUCUGAUGUAAGCGCAAUCAUCAAUGAGACUGCUGAGUUAUCAUGUAAGCUCAGCGGUAAAGACUGUGAGGGAGCCUGGUUCAGAGAUGGCAAAAAGGUCAGUCGGAAAGGUCAAACUCAUCAUUUUGUUGGUGCUGUGUCAGUGUCAAAAAACGCAUUAUAACAGCAAGGGAUCCGAGGUCACUUUCACACCUGUAGUUUGGCCCAAGGGAGGAAAAAACAAAACAAAACAAAACAUGGUGCCUUUCAUUCACAAUGCAGUUCAUGUUCACACUGACUUAUUUAGAAACAACAAGAUUUGCAAGCAUAAAAUCACAAAGACUGGAAGGUAACCAAUUCAUAAAGGCAGUUGGGGAGUGAGUGAGUGAGGGUAUGAGUGUGUGCAUGUGUGUGCGAAGAAGAAAACUGAAGGGAAAAGCAAACUGAACAGGUUAAAGUUCACUAUAUGGACAAAAGUAUUGGGACAUCCUUCUUAAUUACUGAAUUCAAGUGUG